AACGAGGCGUGAAUCGUCAGGCUCAAUGAAGCUCUCGCAAACCAUACAGUAAUUCUCAGAAAUUUAUAUAUUUCUUGACUUCCUGCUUUCGCUACAUCACGCCAAAUCCGAGUUGAAUGCAAGGGCCUUGAACUGAAUCUAGAGCUUUCAUAAGAACACACCGAGACAUUUACCUGCCUUGUUCAGCUGCAGCAAUCGCCAUUUGUUUCCUAUCAUCUGGCAGUUCCUUUGAUCUUAUCGAACAGCCAUUCGCAGGGAAUUAGUGGCAACCUUUAAACCAUCUAGAUGCAAUUAAGCUUCCCAGACAGAAACCAAAAUCUACAGUUCAUAUUUCACUCUCUUGGCCUCUAAUUUGGAUAGUGUUGUGAUAAUUUUUGGUGCUGUUUUCCGUGCUUAUUGUGAAAUAAUUUGAAUAUGUUUUCACAUUGUCAACUGAAUGAAAUCUUAUUUGAAACGUUGAGCGUGCAAUAUGUGACGCGAAGGUACAGUGCGGUAGUUUCUCAAUUGUUAAAAGAAUUAUUACAUCUCUGUCAAGUAUAGUUGGUACUAUGUGUCUUCAA